CACUCGUAACGGUGCACUUGUAUUCAUGUCACGCUCAUAUGACAUUCCUACAUACCUACACAUGUUUUGGAGGUACGGAUAUCAUAACAGGAACGUGAUCAUCGUGAGUGGAGAGGUACUACAUUAAACCAGGAAAUGAAAAGCCGUCUUCUACAGAUCUUGAUUCUACUGCUGUCGUGUGUUCGUUUGUGUUCCAAAACAACACAGCCUGAUAUAACAUACACACACAAUGGGAGGACGUGUGUCAAAUGUCCUCCGGGGACUUACCUGAUUAGCCACUGUGACAAAGAAAACGAAGUAGGUGAAUGCCGAUUGUGUCCAAACGGAACAUAUAGCUCUCAAUACGACAUCGCUACAUCGUGUGCACCGUGUAAAGAGUUUUGUGAAAACAAAGACCUAGUGGAGGUUAAAAAGUGCACAAAACUGACGGACAUGGAGUGUGCUUGUCCAAAUGGAACAUUCAAUGUUAAUGCACAUCUUCCCUUGAGCCAUGCCAAGUGUAUACCUCAUGGUUUCUGUGGUCCAGGGUACGGAGUGAAAGUCCAGGCAACAUCAGUUAAAAACACGAUAUGUGAGAGGUGUGAGAUUGGAAAGACGUAUUCCUUAACCACCUCGGCGUCAGACAGAUGUCAGCCAUGUACAAAUUGUGGACAGUUUGAUGUCAUUUCAGAAUGCAACACAACACACAACCGUAUUUGUGACAUAGAACCCAAGAACAUCCCAUACCAACGCUGCGACACAGAUGAAUACACCCUCACAGAUGUUAUGACUGGAGGAAUAAUUGGAGCAGCUAUUGGAGCUAUAAUAGUAAUUGGAAUAAUGUUAUUACUCUUUUACGAAAAGCUACCCUGCUUUAAGUCAGAAACUCAACAACAAAGUCCAAGUGUUCCUACCAUAAGUGAUGGGUUCGUUGAGGAGAUUAAUAACGGCAACAACAAGGGCAUUGUUAAGGAACAAAUCAAGUAAUGUCAUCAUGGAGUGGACGUCAGGCUAAUGUCAUCAUGGAGUGGACGUCAGGCUAAUGUCAUCAUGGAGUGGACGUCAGGGAGCAUCACCAAGAGUACUGAGGAAUGUUUGGCGUACGGGGAAUUGUGAUGUAAUCCUACAAGUGUAACGAGGACAAUAUCCACAAGUUUAAAGAACAAAGCAAAAUUUCAAACGAGAGGAUCUAUAGUAUGUUUUGGUAGUUUGAUUACAGGUAUGAUAUCUGGAUUACAGGUAUAAUAUCUGGAUUACAGGUAUGAUAUCUGGAUUACAGGUAUGAUAUCUGGAUUACAUGUAUACUAUCUGGAUUACAGGUAUGAUAUCUGGAUUACAGGUAUGAUAUCUGGAUUACAGGUAUAAUAUCUGGAUUACAGGUAUGAUAUCUAGAUUACAGGUAUGAAAUCUGGAUUACAGGUAUGAUAUCUGGAUUACAGGUAUGCUAUCUGGAGAACAGGUAUGCUAUCUGGAGAACAGGUAUAAUAUCUAGAUUACAGGUAUGAUAUCUGGAUUACAGGUAUAAUAUCUGGAUUACAGGUAUAACAUCUGGAUUACAGGUAUAAUAUCUUGAUUACAGGUAUGAUAUCUAGAUUACAGGUAUGAUAUCUGGAUUACAGGUAUGAUAUCUGGAUUACAGGUAUAAUAGCUUGAAUACAGGUAUGAUAUCUGGAUUACAGGUAUGAUAUCUGGAUUACAGGUAUGAUAUCUGGAGAACAGGUAUAAUAUUUGGAGUACAGGUAUAAUAUCUGGAUUACAGGUAUAAUAUCUUGAAUACAUGUAUGAUAUCUUGAAUACAUGUAUGAUAUUUUGAUUACAAGUAUGAUAUUGUGAUAAGAUGAAGUCAAGAGUAAGAGUGGAUUGAAUCAGACACGUGUUUCCGGGGAGCAAGAAUCACACAUUUGUACAUUUGUAAUAGGCAAGUUUUCUUGUGCAAUAGUUUCCUGUUUUUAGAAUAUGAGGGAAGGUAUUUUGGAGUUUGGGGUCGUAGUCGUGUGUAUUUGGAAAUAGUAUAAAUCAAUUUUGUUGGUCAAAGUUCAAUUAUUCCAUCAACAGAAAUGUUGCAAAUUGUGUACACAACAUUGACCAGCAAGACUCCAGCAGAGCGAUAAGCUACUCCAAUAAUCCAGUGACGCUCCACAGUAUUUCAGUUGUUUUAGGGAUAUUUCUUACAUUACUUCUGUUGAUGAAGCUCGGGUAGGAAUACGUCUCUGUAUUACCCCUUGGGAUAACAGAGGAUGUUUCCUGAUUUCUCAAUGUGGCUAUAUUGUCUUAAAUGUAUCGACAUGUGAAUCUAUGUACUAAAUGUGGGGAGAUUAAUCGAGAUUUGGAGAAAUUCUAAGAGGGAAAAACUUUGAUUGCCUUUAUUAUUUUGGGGGAGUCUACGUGUAUUAGGCCAUUAGAUUCAUUUGGAUGGGUUGACGAAUUUCAUUUGUAGGAGGGGUAACUGGAUAGAAAAUGUUUUAGGGAAUUUAUUAUUCAUCACUUUUUGAGGUUGUACUUUAAUCAAUAAUGUUGGGUAAUUGUUUUGUAUAUUUUUAAAGGCUAGAGCUUAUCUCGGCUAGGGUCAGAUACGAUUAUAUGAACAUUGAAUGUGUAUUGAGUAUGUGUCCACAUCUUUCAUUGUAAAUAUUCAUUAAUAGUUAAUUAUUGCUGCGAAUGGGGUGGGAGAGUUGUAGAGAAUAUGUAUCUAGAAUAAAUGUAUGACUAUAUAAUUGUUGUGGAGUUUACAAAAUAAAUUGUUCACCUUGAAGAAACUUGGUUAUAUGUGAGCAGAGACCAAGGCCAUGGGGAUAGUAAUAGCAGAGCCUGAGUAUUCUCGAACCCCAAUAGUAAUAGCAGAGCCUGAGUAUUCUCUCACCCCAAUAGUAAUAGCAGAGCCUGAGUAUUCUCUCACCCCAAUAGUAAUAGCAGAGCCUGAGUAUUCUCUCACCCCAAUAGUAAUAGCAGAGCCUGAGUAUUCUCUCACCCCAAUAGUAAUAGCAGAGCCUGAGUAUUCUCUCACCCCAAUAGUAAUAGCAGAGCCUGAGUAUUCUCUCACCCCAAAGUUGUAUUGGUAAGAUCACUAACGGUCUAAGUGCAGACAACUCUAUUGGAUUUUGAUUAUCUCCCUUUGGUAAACUGACAAAGACAACAAAUCAACAAAACGAGUGCAUAGAUAUUCAUACAGUAGAUGUUGCAGCUGGAACCCGUGAAAGGACUACGACAAAAAUGCAUAAUAUAUUUGCAUCGGUUAGAAUUACUAGACCAUUAGUGAAGUUUUUAGGGAUUUGGUAUCCAUCCAAUUUAUACCAACCAUGUAGUAGUCAGUCAUACUACCGUGAUUAUUUGUAGAAGAACCUAACCACACUGCCUGCUUCAAUGUUCUAAUUACGGAUAUUUUGCAUUAAAUAAUGGAAGAAAUUAUGACUUAUAGCUGUUCUGAUCUCAUUUAGUACAUCCUUCCCCUGUUUGACGAGGGGGGCCUCUUCUUAUCUCAUUUAGUACAUCCUUCGCCUGUUUGAUGAGGGGGGCCUCUCCUGAUCUCAUUUAGUACAUCCUUCGCCUGUUUGAUGAGGGGGGCCUCUCCUGAUCUCAUUUAGUACAUCUUUCGCCUGUUUGAUGAGGGGGGCCUCUCCUGAUCUCAUUUAGUACAUCCUUCGCCUGUUUGAUGAGGGGGGCCUCUCCUGAUCUCAUUUAGUACAUCCUUCGCCUGUUUGACGAGGGGGACCUCUUCUUAUCUCAUUUAGUACAUCCUUCGCCUGUUUGAUGAGAGGUAACUCUUUCGAUCUCAAUUAGUACUGUAACAGAGUCGAAAACGUGUCUAUUUGAUAGCACUUUAUAGGAUAUUUUCUAUUUUUAUUGUCUCACUGUUGUGCCUUACCAGCCUUAAUAAGUGUAUAGUAUUUACGAGCAGCCAGGAUAAAUUGUGUGUUAUAAUCCUCUAUGUUUUAAAAGUUAAAAGUUGUUUUUAUAUAUGAAAGUUGUAUAAAUGCUAGAAUAUGGCUCUGUCAUAUAGGCCAAGUUUGUAAAGUUUAUAAAGUUAAAAGUGUUUUUUUACAUAGGAACUAUAGUUUGUAAACUCGGUGGUGCUGAUCAGCUGAUUGUGUCCAAGAGUAUGUUGUUUUCUGAUUGUAAAUAUUAUUUAUUACCGCCAGAGAGUGUUGAGAUUAGUGAAAAUGAUGUUUGAGCGACACGUUGAUCAAGUUUCAGCUUGCUAAAUAUUUUUUUAUAAGUAUUUUUGUGUAUCCUAGGGGUGUUGACCUAAAGAUAGGGUCGCCGCCAUCUUUGUUUACAUUGGCAACACACAGCCAAGGGUGUGUCUGAUUUCCGAACAAGUGUAUGAUUUAUGAGCCAAAUCAUUUUAAAUUUAAAUAUCUUGUCAGAAACCUUAUCCAUCCAUACUUUCAUUAGUAAACGGGCUAAUCACGCUAUAUAGGGCGAUUGUUUGUGCAGCGUCCAUCUGCUUCCCCCGAGCAACUGUUGUAAAUGGCAGAACAGUGAACUGACGACAAACGCAGUUAUUUCACGAAUUCGACAUUUUGGAAAGCUAAAUUUUAGUUAGAAAAGGUUUGUUUGCAUUGCUAUGAUACGCUUAAUAAUGUUUAUGACAAUAUUUUAUUACGUACUUAUUUGGUAGAACUAUUGUUAUGUAUAUGGUGACAGUCUUACUGGUCUGUGAGAUAUCUUAUAAGUGUACAAUCUAGGGGAGAUAAUCUAACUCCAUAUGUAUAUGAGUUAUUCCCCUUUGUUGUAAUUCGUUUCGUUUGUAAGAUACAUUUUGAUUAUUCAUAUAAAGACUUGGAACUGGAAA